rnacentral:rRNA from 1 species
ACUGAACGCUGGCGGCAUGCCUUACACAUGCAAGUCGAACGGUAACAGGUCUUCGGAUGCUGACGAGUGGCGAACGGGUGAGUAAUACAUCGGAACGUGCCCGAGAGUGGGGGAUAACGAGGCGAAAGCUUUGCUAAUACCGCAUACGAUCUCAGGAUGAAAGCAGGGGACCGCAAGGCCUUGCGCUCACGGAGCGGCCGAGGGCAGAUUAGGUAGUUGGUGGGAUAAAAGCUUACCAAGCCGGCGAUCUGUAGCUGGUCGGAGAGGACGACCAGCCAGACUGGGACUGUGACACGGCCCAGCAUCCGACGGGAGGCAGCAGUGGGGAAUUUUGGACAAUGGGCGCAAGCCUGAUCCGGCCAUGCCGCGUGCAGGAUGAAGGCCUUCGGGUUGUAAACUGCUUUUGUACGGAACGAAAAGACUCUGGUUAAUACCUGGGGUCCAUGACGGUACCGUAAGAAUAAGCACCGGCUAACUACGUGCCAGCCGCCGCCGUAACAC